rnacentral:rRNA from 1 species
GACAGCAGCAGCCACGGUAAUACAGAGGGUGCAAGCGUUAAUCGGAAUUACUGGGCGUAAAGCGCGCGUAGGUGGUUUGUUAAGUUGGAUGUGAAAUCCCCGGGCUCAACCUGGGAACUGCAUUCAAAACUGACUGACUGGAGUAUGGUAGAGGGUGGUGGAAUUUCCUGUGUAGCGGUGAAGUGCGUAGAUAUAGGAAGGAACACCAGUGGCGAAGGCGACCACCUGGACUAAUACUGACACUGAGGUGCGAAAGCGUGGGGAGCAAACAGGAUUAGAUACCCCGGUAGUCCCUGUCUCUUAUAC